AACGAACGCUGGCGGCAUGCCUAACACAUGCAAGUCGAACGAGACCUUCGGGUCUAGUGGCGCACGGGUGCGUAACGCGUGGGAACCUGCCCUUAGGUUCGGAAUAACUCCCCGAAAGGGGUGCUAAUACCGGAUAAUGUCUUCGGACCAAAGAUUUAUCGCCUUUGGAUGGGCCCGCGUUGGAUUAGCUAGUUGGUAGGGUAAAAGCCUACCAAGGCGACGAUCCAUAGCUGGUCUGAGAGGAUGAUCAGCCACACUGGGACUGAGACACGGCCCAGACUCUUACGGGAGGCAGCAGUGGGGAAUAUUGGACAAUGGGCGAAAGCCUGAUCCAGCAAUGCCGCGUGAGUGAUGAAGGCCUUAGGGUUGUAAAGCUCUUUUACCCGGGAUGAUAAUGACAGUACCGGGAGAAUAAGCUCCGGCAACUCCGUG
rnacentral:rRNA from 1 species